CCUACGGGUGGCUGCAGUGAGGAAUAUUGGUCAAUGGGCGGAAGCCUGAACCAGCCAAGUAGCGUGCGGGAUGAAGGCCCUACGGGUCGUAAACCGCUUUUGCACGGGGAUAACACCCUCCACUUGUGGAGGUCUGCAGGUACCGUUCGAAUAAGGGCCGGCUAAUUCCGUGCCAGCAGCCGCGGUAAUACGGAAGGCCCGAGCGUUAUCCGGAUUCAUUGGGCUUAACGGGAGCGUAGGCGGGCGUUCAGGUCAGCGGUAAAAUCGCGAGGCGCAACCGCGCCCCGCAGUUGAAACUGGACGCGUUGAGUACAGAACAGGUAGGCGGAAUUCGUGGUGUAGCGGUGAAAUGCAUAGAGAUCACGAGGAACCCCGAUUGCGAAGGCAGCCUGCUGGGGUGCGACUGACGCUGAGGCUCGAAGGUGCGGGUAUCAAACAGGAUUAGAUACCCCAGUAGUC
rnacentral:rRNA from 1 species